CAGCCAAGGAGGAAGGAGCUCUGUCAUGGAAGGGAGGAGCAACCUAAAUGCAGGAGCAGUGUCUGAUGUUGUAGCUGCAUGAAGUAUCCCUGGCAUGACAAGACAGGAGCAGGUGGAUUGCCCAGAGAUGGGGGAAGACUGGAGGCAAAGACUUGGCCAUGAAGGAAAUGGGAGACUGGAAAGAACUUGAAUAGUCUAAUCAGGUGCAUCAUGGAACAAACAUAGGCCCAGGCCUUGCCAAAGCAGAGGAUUUCUUUCCCUGCUUCCCUGAAAUGUAUGAAACAAUAGCCUUUUGGUCACCAAACUGACAUCUCUAACCAGGCACUUCUAAAGCUAAAAAGCUUUUACACUUUGAACUACAGCCAAGCUUCUGUAACAAUUAAUAUCGUCCAUGACUCAAGCACAGAAGAGGAUUUGUAUCCAGUAUGUUACAUACUUCCUUUUCUCAAGAAGACUUUUUCCAAGCAUCUGAAGUCUUCUGAUUACAGAUGAGUCAUUACUCCCACCCUGUUGUCCAUCCAAUACACAGGAGAUUGAACUGAUGGCCACCAGCAAUUAUUAAGCACAAGUUGCUAAAGCUCUGCAGCUGCAGCUUUUACCAACUUAUUUCCUCUUGGGCUUGGGAACAGAGAAGUUCUCACACACCCUCACCAGUGGGUUGCUCAAGCAAGAGGCUUUUUUGUUUCACUUUGUCACUAAACCAGGACUGACUGAAUAUGAAUUCAAGAUUACAACACUGUCCUGACAUAGGAUUUGUUACCAGCACAGUUACUGACUGUAGCAUUAGCAAAUACUAUAACUUAUCAGUAGCCUCCCAAUAUUUUGUGCUUUUCAUGUAGCUUCCAAUUUUGGAAGCAUAAGAAUCUUGACUUUCUUUUUAAAACAAAAGGUACUUUUUCUGGCCCUUGUAACCUCAUGUGAAACAUGAAUGGUUCAGAAAAAAUCCCUUGUGAUAAGCCAGUCUGAUUUUUGUGGGUGUCUUAUUUGGGGUUGGUUGGACUUAGGUCACUAUACCAGGACUGCAUGUCACAUGGGCAACUGGUGCCUCCUGAGUCUGGGGGGGUGCACCGGAUCACCGCCGGGGUGGGUACCCCAGUAGCUAAUCACCGACCGGGGGCGGGGGGCUGCAGGAGUCCCCCAGCGACUGAUCGCCGAGCCAGCUGCGAAACCAGAAAUGCACUUCUGCCGGCACUUCCAGGGUGUGCAUGGCCGAUCUCAGGUGGUUCACGUGCACCUGCGUGCACCCCCUACGUGUCGCCAAUGGUGACUGUGAAGCCUUGUCCAAGUCUUGAAACUAAGGAAGUUUAUCCCCUAUCUAAAUGGCCAUCAUAAUUAAACAAGACUGUUCUGAGUCUGCUAUUUCCUAACAGUUUGUGUCUGGGAAAAGCAAGGGUUCAAAAUAAUAAAGUGGCCUAAUUUUGACCUCAUAAUAUUUUUUUUUUUUUCACAAACACAGGAGCCACUUUUACUUAAUUUUCUGAAAGCUUUUCACUUAUACAGGCAUACAACUAACAUGAGCUAGAUCCACCAUACAAGCAUAAUUGUUGGCUGCCUAGAAGAGUAAGAUUAUUAGAGGUAGAAAGACACUGACUGUGUGCUGACUACAGAUGGCUGUGGUAGAUACCAGCCAAUUUCCUUAAGUUAUCAAAACCCCUAUGGCUGGCUCUGGUUUGGAAAUAAUCACUCUGAAAAUUAGUGUGCAAGCGGGUGACAACACAUUAUUGUAGUGUUUUCCCUCUGGCAUUUUGCUGGUACUUUUUAGAAUGUUCUUAUGCUAACUGAAAAUUUAAAUGAAAGCGAAUUUUUAAAUUGUUUUUCCUUUUUAUUUUAAAAAAAAAAUUCUUUGUCCAUUCUUUCUCUCAUGUGCUGAUUUUGUAAAGAAUGCUCCAUAAUAUUUUGAGGUAGUGAUUCAAAUUUGACUUUGACACCAGUGAUAUCUCUAUUUCAUCUUUAAACUUUUAACUUUAAAAAUAAUACUGGUGAAAAAUGUCAUAACUGGGAAAAAAUUGCAUGAGAUUAGCAUAGCAAAUUUAAAAUUCAUGAAGGUUUUUCAUAAUUUUAGCUAAUAGUCAAAAUGUCAUGUAAUGCAUCAUUUGAAUAUUAAAAUUAAAGCAGACUUUCACAUUAGCAUUCUUCAAGCUUGCAUACUACUAAUUCUACCUUAUCUGGUCUUGGUAGUGACACUAUGUAUAUUAACAACCUUCUGACAGAAAGUGAAUUUCUGUAAUACUGUAGUACAGUAUCCAAUCAAUGCACAGGCCUUAUGCUAUUGUCAAACAAAUGAUGCAUUACAGCUCAUUGUGUGUGUAAUCUAGCAUAACCUGUACAUAUUUGGAAGCUCCUGAAAGUGAGAUGCUUCAUGUACUAAUAUUAUAUGUCAUUUAAAACCAAUGAAAAACCAGCUGGUC